rnacentral:tRNA from 1 species
GAGCAUCUGACUUUUAAUCAGAGGGUCGAAGGUUCGAAUCCUUCAUGGCUCACCA